AGCCCUGCAGAACUCAUUUAAAUAUGCAAGGAAGGAGAUCCAGCAGCAAAAAUCUGUUGGGAUGAGUCAAGCUGCACAUCUGGAAAUAAAGGACAACACCAUCCAGAAGUUACAGGAAAAAUUACAAAACAAAAUGGAGGAAACUUAAAUGCUUGUCCAAGCAUUUGCUGAAGGAAUGGAUGCAGACUGGAUAGAUGACCAAGAAGGACAAGCAGGUCCAUCUUACAGUGCAAAUGACAAGCUCACUCACCAUGAGGCCACAUGAUCAGAUGCCAGCACCUUGCUGAUGAACCACUUCCCAGAUCGAAAUGUACAAAUACUGUUGUGUAUAAGCUGUUUCUUAAUUGUUGGUAAUAAAUGAUUCCU